GAGCUUGCUCCUGUAGUUCCAGGGGCAGGUGGAGUAACACGUGGGUAACCUGCCUGUAAGACUGGGAUAACUCCGGGAAACCGGGGCUAAUACCGGAUGGUUGUUUGAACCGCAUGGUUCAAACAUAAAAGGUGGCUUCGGCUACCACUUACAGAUGGACCCGCGGCGCAUUAGCUAGUUGGUGAGGUAACGGCUCACCAAGGCAACGAUGCGUAGCCGACCUGAGAGGGUGAUCGGCCACACUGGGACUGAGACACGGCCCAGACUCCUACGGGAGGCAGCAGUAGGGAAUCUUCCGCAAUGGACGAAAGUCUGACGGAGCAACGCCGCGUGAGUGAUGAAGGUUUUCGGAUCGUAAAGCUCUGUUGUUAGGGAAGAACAAGUACCGUUCGAAUAGGGCGGUACCUUGACGGUACCUAACCAGAAAGCCACGGCUAACUACGUGCCAGCAGCCGCGGUAAUACGUAGGUGGCAAGCGUUGUCCGGAAUUAUUGGGCGUAAAGGGCUCGCAGGCGGUUUCUUAAGUCUGAUGUGAAAGCCCCCGGCUCAACCGGGGAGGGUCAUUGGAAACUGGGGAACUUGAGUGCAGAAGAGGAGAGUGGAAUUCACGUGUAGCGGUGAAAUGCGUAGAGAUGUGGAGGACACCAUGGAAAGGUCAACUCUUCUGGUUCUGUAAUCUUGACCUCUNUAGGAAACCAAAAGUGUGGGGANCAAAUNUGAAUUAUAUUUCCCUGUUUCUCUCCACCCUCUACAUUAUNUUGUUGUGUUGGGGGUUUCCCCCCUUUUUUUCUUCNAUAUCACAUUNUCACCCCCGCGGGUGAUNUGGCGCCAAAUAAACAAAGAAAUUGAUGGGGCCCCNGCGGUUUUUUUUNUUAUAUAANCAAAACUAUCNNUUUUCUCCUUANUCAAAAUAUACUCUUGGGNGNGAACGGUGAGUUUUUUUUCUUAAUUAUUUUCAAAACCUUCAUCCUUUUCUCUCAANUNGG
rnacentral:rRNA from 1 species